GAUGGGUGAGUAACACGUGGGGAACCUGCCCCCUCGUCUGGGAUACCACUUGGAAACAGGUGCUAAUACCGGAUAAGAAAGCAGAUCGCAUGAUCAGCUUAUAAAAGGCGGCGUAAGCUGUCGCUAUGGGAUGGCCCCGCGGUGCAUUAGCUAGUUGGUAGGGUAACGGCCUACCAAGGCAAUGAUGCAUAGCCGAGUUGAGAGACUGAUCGGCCACAUUGGGACUGAGACACGGCCCAAACUCCUACGGGAGGCAGCAGUAGGGAAUCUUCCACAAUGGACGAAAGUCUGAUGGAGCAACGCCGCGUGAGUGAAGAAGGUUUUCGGAUCGUAAAGCUCUGUUGUUGGUGAAGAAGGAGAUAGAGGUAGUAACCUGGCCUUUAGAGAGAUAGAGGUUUGACGGUAAUCAACCAGAAAGUCACGGCUAACUAACGGCGACUGCCAGCAGCCGCGCGGUAAUACGUAGGUGGCAAGCGUUGUCCGGAUUUAUUGGGCGUAAAGCGAGCGCAGGCGGAAGAAUAAGUCUGAUGUGAAAGCCCUCGGCUUAACCGAGGAACUGCAUCGGAAACUGUUUUUCUUGAGUGCAGAAGAGGAGAGUGGAACUCCAUGUGUAGCGGUGGAAUGCGUAGAUAUAUGGAAGAACACCAGUGGCGAAGGCGGCUCUCUGGUCUGCAACUGACGCUGAGGCUCGAAAGCAUGGGUAGCGAACAGGAUUAGAUACCCUGGUAGUCCAUGCCGUAAACGAUGAGUGCUAAGUGUUGGGAGGUUUCCGCCUCUCAGUGCUGCAGCUAACGCAUUAAGCACUCCGCCUGGGGAGUACGACCGCAAGGUUGAAACUCAAAGGAAUUGACGGGGGCCCGCACAAGCGGUGGAGCAUGUGGUUUAAUUCGAAGCAACGCGAAGAACCUUACCAGGUCUUGACAUCUAGUGCAAUCCGUAGAGAUACGGAGUUCCCUUCGGGGACACUAAGGACAGGUGGUGCAUGGCUGUCGUCAGCUCGUGUCGUGAGAUGUUGGGUUAAGUCCCGCAACGAGCGCAACCCUUGUCAUUAGUUGCCAGCAUUAAGUUGGGCACUCUAAUGAGACUGCCGGUGACAAACCGGAGGAAGGUGGGGAUGACGUCAAGUCAUCAUGCCCCUUAUGACCUGGGCUACACACGUGCUACAAUGGGCAGUACAACGAGGCGCAAGCCUGCGAAGGCAAGCGAAUCUCUUAAAGCUGUUCUCAGUUCGGACUGCAGUCUGCAACUCGACUGCACGA
rnacentral:rRNA from 1 species